CCUACGGGUGGCAGCAGUGAGGAAUAUUGGUCAAUGGGCGAGAGCCUGAACCAGCCAAGUCGCGUGAAGGAUGACGGCCCUACGGGUUGUAAACUUCUUUUGUCAGGGAGCAAUUGAGUCCACGUGUGGGCGUAGCGAGAGUACCUGAAGAAAAAGCAUCGGCUAACUCCGUGCCAGCAGCCGCGGUAAUACGGAGGAUGCAAGCGUUAUCCGGAUUUAUUGGGUUUAAAGGGAGCGUAGAUGGGUUGUUAAGUCAGUUGUGAAAGUUUGCGGCUCAACCGUAAAAUUGCAAUUGAUACUGGCAGCCUAGAGUACAGUUGAGGUAGGCGGAAUUCGUGGUGUAGCGGUGAAAUGCUUAGAUAUCACGAAGAACUCCGAUUGCGAAGGCAGCUUACCAAACUGCCACUGACAUUGAUGCUCGAAAGUGUGGGGAUCAAACAGGAUUAGAUACCCGAGUAGUC
rnacentral:rRNA from 1 species